GUCUGGAAGAUCUUCAGUUAACUUUCAGGCCAACUGUGCUGUCAUUGUUAUAGACAAGCUCUUUGAAGUGAUUUGAAAACUGUUUGACAUCCUUUUCCCCAUUUUUACAUUCAACAGGUUCCACCAGGGGUAAGCAAACAAAUAGCAAACUCCAACAAAAAGCAAAUUCCACAUUUAAGUAACUUGAACAAGACAAGCCAAUGCUCAGGAAACAAUUUCAUUGCAUUUAAUGACUUUCAUAUUGCUUCCAGACCCCACAAGGACACCUAGGGUCCUCUUCUUUUGAUGGUAACAAACCCCUGAAGACACCCAAUUUUUACAGCUUUAACAGGGAUCUGACCGAACUACACAGUCUGGAACCUGGAGAGUAUGUGAUCAUCCCGUCCACCAUGAAACCCAACAUGACUGCUGAUUUCGUUCUUACUGUCUACACCAAGGCUGAUGUUGAGAUCAGGUAAAGACUUACUUUGAUAUGUGAUAAUGCAUAAGCCCCAUGAGAGGCUUUAUUCCCAAAGAAUGACAAAUGCUUAUUUGAAUACAUGCUUUCCUACCACCAUUUUCAAAAGUGUUGCAAGACACAUAAGUUUCACUUUUUUAACACACUUUCUGCUGUAUCCAACUCCCACAGUGGAGGAGACCACAGAUAAGGACGCCAGCCUUAUUGCCUUAUUCAACCUGUAUGCAAAUCAGGUCAAGUGUAUUUUUUUUUAUGAUUGUGAUAUUUUACUCCUUUGGUGUUUGUCCUUUCUGCACUGAAUCUGCACUGAACAGUUUUACUUGCUUCUGUGUUCUAGAAUGAUGAGCUGCUUACUGGACAACUCCAGAAACUCCUGAAUGACAGGUUCCCUCAUGGAACCUUGUAUGGCUUUGGUUUGGAUACCUGCAGGAGUAUGAUUGCUUUGGUGGAUCUUGACCAAAGGAUGACAAUGUCUUUUAUUGAAUUUUUGAUACUUUGGAACAAGAUUCAAGAAUACAAGGUAAAACAGAAAAUGUAGGACAUACUCAAAUAAUUCCUCUAACUUUUAGAGCUGUAUUUCCCUAAGACACUGAUAUUUUUUUUAAGUUCAGUGUCUGACAUGUAGUGUAAAAUUAAAUAAAAUAAUAAUAAUAAAAAAAAAAUUUCAAACUGCUCCUUACUCCUUUGCAGAAACUCUUCCAUCAAUCUGAUCUUAAUCAAAGUGGAUCCUUGACUGACCUUGAGCUCCAGAAAACAGUUG